UCCGUGUUGAUAUGAAAACGAGAAAUUGUGUCGAAACACGACGCCCGAAGGGCGGAGUGUUUUCACACAAUUUCGAGUUUUCCCAAUUUCCACGAGUGCUGAUAUUAACGGCUUAUUGACCGAGCGUGAUGUCUGUAAUGUGAAAUAUCAGACCGAGGUCUCAUAUUUCACAGUGCAGACCGAACAAGCGAGGUCAAUAGUCGGUUUAUUAUAUGGCGGAACCGAGACUGUGAGCAUAUGCUUUUCGCGCGAAUUAAAUCGGCUAUCGUCAGUUUCACUGGGUAACAAUAUACGGUAGGCAUGCAUGCUCAAUCAAAAACAAUUUGGUUCUUUGAAGUUUUUAUCUGUAAAUUUCAAU